rnacentral:rRNA from 2 species
AGCCUGAUGCAGCGACGCCGCGUGCGGGAUGGAGGCCUUCGGGUUGUAAACCGCUUUUGUUCAAGGGCAAGGCACGGUUUCGGGCCGUGUUGAGUGGAUUGUUCGAAUAAGCACCGGCUAACUACGUGCCAGCAGCCGCGGUAAUACGUAGGGUGCGAGCGUUAUCCGGAUUUAUUGGGCGUAAAGGGCUCGUAGGCGGUUCGUCGCGUCCGGUGUGAAAGUCCAUCGCCUAACGGUGGAUCUGCGCCGGGUACGGGCGGGCUGGAGUGCGNUAAGGGAGACUGGAAUUCCCGGUGUAACGNUGGAAUGUGUANAUAUCGGGAAGAACACCAAUGGNNAANGNAGGUCUCUGGGCCGUUACUGACGCUGACGAUNNAAAGACGUGAACCAGCGANCNCNAUAANAUACCCUGACUACGGAUUAGAUACCCUGGUAGUCCACGCCGUAAACGGUGGAUGCUGGAUGUGGGGCCCUUUCCACGGGUCCUGUGUCGGAGCCAACGCGUUAAGCAUCCCGCCUGGGGAGUACGGCCGCAAGGCUAAAACUCAAAGAAAUUGACGGGGGCCCGCACAAGCGGCGGAGCAUGCGGAUUAAUUCGAUGCAACGCGAAGAACCUUACCUGGGCUUGACAUGUGCCGGAUCGCCGUGGAAACACGGUUUCCCUUCGGGGCCGGUUCACAGGUGGUGCAUGGUCGUCGUCAGCUCGUGUCGUGAGAUGUUGGGUUAAGUCCCGCAACGAGCGCAACCCUCGCCGCAUGUUGCCAGCGGGUGAUGCCGGGAACUCAUGUGGGACCGCCGGGGUCAACUCGGAGGAAGGUGGGGAUGACGUCAGAUCAUCAUGCCCCUUACGUCCAGGGCUUCACGCAUGCUACAAUGGCCGGUACAACGCGAUGCGACACGGUGACGUGGGGCGGAUCGCUGAAAACCGGUCUCAGUUCGGAUCGCAGUCUGCAACUCGACUGCGUGAAGGCGGAGUCGCUAGUAAUCGCGGAUCAGCAACGCCGCGGUGAAUGCGUUCCCGGGCCUUGUACACACCGCCCGUCAAGUCAUGAAAGUGGGUAGCACCGGAAGCCGGUGGCCCGACCCUCGUGGGGCGGACCGUCUAAU